GCUUUGGAAGAAACUCUAAAGUCAAAGUGGAAAGGUUGGGUUGUGAACAUUAAAAAUGAACAAGAAACUCAAGCAAGAGGUUCUGUGACAGUAGACUAAGUAUGCAGUUAUUUUUUAAGGAACACGAAUUAAGCAUUCCAUCUGUGGAAAAUGUGUACUUUCUCACUGCGUUAUGUCGCUCUUCAAGAAAAAGGCUGGAUGAAACACCACCCAAACUGAAACUGG
rfam:Otolemur garnettii contig055378, whole genome shotgun sequence.